UGUCUCCUUGUAGACGAAUGUUGUGUCUCUGGUUGAAAUUUUGUGAAGUCGAUCGUUUCUCUUUAUUUGUUUCCUGUGUGGAGCAUGCUUGUGUCUUUUCUUCUUAAUUCUCAUACUCAUGCUGGUCAAAACUUAGUUGUACAAAUUUUGGUAAUUGUUUUUUAUCUUAUACAUGUACUAAGUUUUUUCAAAACUACAAAAUAGGGGUAAGAAAGAAUCAAGAAACAAAACCAAGAAUAGUUGCUUAAAUUUCUGGGUUGCUCCAAAAAAUGUCGUUUAUCCGACCCAAUCCAACCAGUUACCACUCCUACCAAAUCCAACUUAUUUGGAACGGAAUUAUUUUUCCAAAAAACAAAGAUAUUUCUUUAUUUCCCCUACUCGGAUUUCAAACAGGGGUCAAUCUGCGUUUGAAGUUAUAAUCUAAGUAUGCGGAAUUUUUCUAAAUAAAUAGAGAGUUUUCUCUGUUUCAGUCGAUCUCUUGAAUGUACGAGUACAUGUUGCCGUUCAAUUGAUUUUCUCUUUCCCGUGCCUUUUGUUGCAGAAAAUUUAGGCUUGUAUUAUUUCAAAAGAGGAAUAAGGUUAGAGAAGUCUUGGUUCUGUUCGUCCACUAUAUAUUCAGGUCAUGGUAUUCAGUUUGUUCGGAAUGAUGCGAGGAUUUUGUCGAUCAAAAUGGCACAAGAACUUUAAGAUGAAGAGAAAUCCCCGUAAAGUAAAAUGGACCAAGGCAUAUAUAGGAGGUUGCAUGGAAAAGGAUGUGACAUGGGUAAACAUGAAAGUUUAUAAUCCAGGACUCAACUUUUGAGUUCGAGAGGAAGCGCAAUAGACCAGAGAGAUAUGACAGGAAUUUCGCCGAAGAGCCACUGAAGGCUAUAAAGAAGAUUGAUAAAGACACAGCGGAUGCGUGGAAAGAAAGCAAAGGGGCUAGAAGAGGAUCAGAAGGAGGAUCAUUCCCUCACCCUUCCAAAGAUCAAAGUCAAGGGGGUACCAAUCAGAAGCAGAGCAAAAUCAGCCCAAUGGAAGAAUGAGUUUGUUACUUCUCUUAUCUCACUAUUUCAAAUGUCCACAUCGUAAUUACUUUCAUCACAUAUCUUCAACUACCACAUUUCUUGCACAGCAGUAGAUUGCCAUUGUCUGUCCUUACACACGCAUGGUUCUUCUAUAGAAGUUCAUUCUGAAAACGCUUAUACAUCUUUUAGCCGGCUGCACUUUUGUUUGUGUUUUUUAUUUUGUUUAAAUGGAUAGGAUGGGUUGGGACUUGAAAUUUCAAGUUGUAGUAAUUACUCUAAAUAAGCUUUUCUACUAGUUAGGUGUAUGUCCCUUGAAAAUUGUUGAGGUGCAUGGACGAAUAUGCCUCUAAAAAGUGUGGCACUAAAAUUAAUAACCUUCACACAAUCCAGUUAUGUCUAUCUAAGUUUGAAUAUUGCAUUUUAAAAUUACAUUGACUUUUGCA